rnacentral:rRNA from 1 species
GAUGAACGCUAGCUACAGGCUUAACACAUGCAAGUCGAACGAGAAUCUACUGAAAGAGUUUUCGGACAAUGGAAGUAGAGGAAAGUGGCGGACGGGUGAGUAACGCGUGAGGAACCUGCCUUGAAGAGGGGGACAACAGUUGGAAACGACUGCUAAUACCGCAUGAUGCAUAGGGGUCGCAUGAUUCUUAUGCCAAAGAUUUAUCGCUUCAAGAUGGCCUCGCGUCCGAUUAGCUAGUUGGCGGGGUAACGGCCCACCAAGGCGACGAUCAGUAGCCGGACUGAGAGGUUGAACGGCCACAUUGGGACUGAGAUACGGCCCAGACUCCUACGGGAGGCAGCAGUGGGGAAUAUUGGGCAAUGGGCGCAAGCCUGACCCAGCAACGCCGCGUGAAGGAAGAAGGCUUUCGGAUUGUAAACUCCUGUUGUUGUAGGAAGAUAAUGACGGUACUCAACAAGGAAGUGACGGCUAACUACGUG